rnacentral:rRNA from 1 species
UCGGGAAUUUUGGGCAAUGGGGGAAACCCUGACCCAGCAACGCCGCGUGAAGGAUGAAGUAUUUCGGUAUGUAAACUUCGAAAGAAUGGGAAGAAUAAAUGACGGUACCAUUUAUAAGCUCCGGCUAACUACGUGCCAGCAGCCGCGGUAAUACGUAGGGAGCAAGCGUUGUUCGGAUUUACUGGGCGUAAAGGGCGCGUAGGCGGCAGUUCAAGUCAGCUGUGAAAUCUCAGGGCUUAACCCUGAAUGGUCAGCUGAUACUGUUUUGCUAGAGUGCAGAAGGGGCAAUCGGAAUUCUUGGUGUAGCGGUGAAAUGCGUAGAUAUCAAGAGGAACACCUGAGGUGAAGACGGGUUGCUGGGCUGACACUGACGCUGAGGCGCGAAAGCUAGGGUAGCAAA